rnacentral:rRNA from 1 species
UGCUAAUACCGCAUGACAUAUCGGAACCACAUGGUUUUGAUAUCAAAGAUUUUAUCGCUUGAAGAUGGACUCGCGUCCGAUUAGUUAGUUGGUGAGGUAACGGCUCACCAAGACCGCGAUCGGUAGCCGGACUGAGAGGUUGAACGGCCACAUUGGGACUGAGACACGGCCCAGACUCCUACGGGAGGCAGCAUG